rnacentral:tRNA from 1 species
UUCCAUGGCAGCUCAGAUGGUAAAGCAUCUGCCUGCAGUGCAGGAGACCCAGGUUCAAUCCCUGGUUGGGAAU